GACGAACGCUGGCGGCGUGCCUAACACAUGCAAGUCGAACGGAGAUACGAUUUCGGUUGUAUCUUAGUGGCGAACGGGUGAGUAACGCGUGAGCAACCUGACUCUUAGAGGGGGAUAACACUCGGAAACGGGUGCUAAUACCGCAUAAGACCACGACAUGGCAUCAUGACGAGGUCAAAGGAGCAAUGCGCUGAGAGAGGGGCUCGCGUCCCAUUAGAUAGAUGGCGGGGUAACGGCCCACCAUGUCGACGAUGGGUAGCCGAGCUGAGAGGCUAAUCGGCCACACUGGAACUGAGGCACGGUCCAGACUCCUACGGGAGGCAGCAGUGGGGAAUAUUGGGCAAUGGGCGCAAGCCUGACCCAGCAACGCCGCGUGAGGGAAGAAGGCUUUCGGGCUGUAAACCUCUGUCCUUGGUGACGAAACAAAUGACGGUAGCCAAGGAGGAAGCCCCGGCUAACUACGUGCCAGCAGCAGCCGCC
rnacentral:rRNA from 1 species